rnacentral:rRNA from 1 species
AACGAACGCUGGCGGUGUGCUUAACACAUGCAAGUCGAACGAGAAAGUUUCCUUCGGGAAGCGAGUAAAGUGGCGCAAGGGUGAGUAACACGUGAAUAAUCUACCCCCGAGACUGGGAUAACCUGGUGAAAACUAGGCUAAUACCGGAUAAGACCACGUCCCGCAAGGGAUGCGGGAAAAGGAGGCUCAACCUCCACUUGGAGAUGAGUUCGCGGACCAUUAGCUUGUUGGUGAGAUAACAGCUCACCAAGGCUACGAUGGUUAGCCGGCCUGAGAGGGUGAACGGCCACACUGGAACUGAGACACGGUCCAGACUCCUACGGGAGGCAGCAGUUUCGAAUCAUUCACAAUGGGCGAAAGCCUGAUGGUGCAACGCCGCGUGGAGGAUG